UACGAAGGGGGCUAGCGUUGUUCGGAAUUACUGGGCGUAAAGCGCGCGCAGGCGGUCCUCCAAGUCAGUGGUGAAAGCCCGGGGCUCAACCCCGGGAGGCGGGCGGAUACUGUCGGGCUAGAGUCCGGAAGAGGCGAGUGGAAUUCCUGGUGUAGCGGUGAAAUGCGCAGAUAUCAGGAGGAACACCAAUGGCGAAGGCAGCUCGCUGGGACGGUACUGACGCUGAGACGCGAAAGCGUGGGGAGCAAACAGG
rnacentral:rRNA from 1 species